AUUGAACGCUGGCGGCAGGCCUAACACAUGCAAGUCGAGCGGAGCGGCGGACGGGUGAGUAAUGCCUAGGAAUCUGCCUGGUAUUGUUGGCUAACGUCCGGAAACGGGCGCUAAUCCCGCAUCCUCUCAGCUUAGCCUAGGGCGGAUUAGCUAGUGGGUGGGGUAAAGGCCUACCAAGGCGACGAGCCGUAACUGCUCUGAGAGGAUGAUCAGGCACACUGGAACUGAGACACGGUCCAGACUCCUACGGGAGGCAGCAGUGGGGAAGAUUGGACAAUGGGCGAAAGCCUGAUGCAGCCAGGCCGCGUGUGUGAAGAAGGUCUUCGGAUUGUAAAGCACUUUAAGUUGGGAGGCGUUACCAACAGAAUAAGCACCGGCUAACUUCGUGCCAGCAGCCGCGGUAAUUC
rnacentral:rRNA from 1 species